UAAGGAAUAUUGGUCAAUGGGCGGAAGCCUGAACCAGCCAUGCCGCGUGCAGGAUGACUGCCCUAUGGGUUGUAAACUGCUUUUGUCCAGGAAUAAACCUAGAUACGUGUAUCUAGCUGAAUGUACUGGAAGAAUAAGGAUCGGCUAACUCCGUGCCAGCAGCCGCGGUAAUACGGAGGAUCCGAGCGUUAUCCGGAUUUAUUGGGUUUAAAGGGUGCGUAGGCGGCCUAUUAAGUCAGGGGUGAAAUACGGUGGCUCAACCAUCGCAGUGCCUUUGAUACUGAUGGGCUUGAAUCCAUUUGAAGUGGGCGGAAUAAGACAAGUAGCGGUGAAAUGCAUAGAUAUGUCUUAGAACUCCGAUUGCGAAGGCAGCUCACUAAGCUGGUAUUGACGCUGAUGCACGAAAGCGUGGGGAUCGAACAGGAUUAGAUACCCUGGUAGUCCACGCCCUAAACGAUGAUAACUCGAUGUUGGCGAUAGACAGCCAGCGUCCAAGCGAAAGCGUUAAGUUAUCCACCUGGGGGAGUACGCCCGCAAGGGUGAAACUUAAAUGAAUUGACGGGGUCAUAGCUGUUUCCU
rnacentral:rRNA from 1 species